GACGAACGCUGGCGGCGUGCUUAACACAUGCAAGUCGAACGGAAAGGCCCUGCUUUUGUGGGGUGCUCGAGUGGCGAACGGGUGAGUAACACGUGAGUAACCUGCCCUUGACUUUGGGAUAACUUCAGGAAACUGGGGCUAAUACCGGAUAGGAGCUCCUGCUGCAUGGUGGGGGUUGGAAAGUUUCGGCGGUUGGGGAUGGACUCGCGGCUUAUCAGCUUGUUGGUGGGGUAGUGGCUUACCAAGGCUUUGACGGGUAGCCGGCCUGAGAGGGUGACCGGCCACAUUGGGACUGAGAUACGGCCCAGACUCCUACGGGAGGCAGCAGUGGGGAAUAUUGCACAAUGGGCGGGAGCCUGAUGCAGCAACGCCGCGUGCGGGAUGACGGCCUUCGGGUUGUAAACCGCUUUCGCCUGUGACGAAGCGUGAGUGACGGUAAUGGGUAAAGAAGCACCGGCUAACUACGUGCCAGCAGCCGCGGUGAUACGUAGGGUGCGAGCGUUGUCCGGAUUUAUUGGGCGUAAAGGGCUCGUAGGUGGUUGAUCGCGUCGGAAGUGUAAUCUUGGGGCUUAACCCUGAGCGUGCUUUCGAUACGGGUUGACUUGAGGAAGGUAGGGGAGAAUGGAAUUCCUGGUGGAGCGGUGGAAUGCGCAGAUAUCAGGAGGAACACCAGUGGCGAAGGCGGUUCUCUGGGCCUUUCCUGACGCUGAGGAGCGAAAGCGUGGGGAGCGAACAGGCUUAGAUACCCUGGUAGUCCACGCUGUAAACGGUGGGUACUAGGUGUGGGGUCCAUUCCACGGGUUCCGUGCCGUAGCUAACGCUUUAAGUACCCCGCCUGGGGAGUACGGCCGCAAGGCUAAAACUCAAAGGAAUUGACGGGGCCCCGCACAAGCGGCGGAGCAUGCGGAUUAAUUCGAUGCAACGCGUAGAACCUUACCUGGGUUUGACAUGGAUCGGGAGUGCUCAGAGAUGGGUGUGCCUCUUUUGGGGUCGGUUCACAGGUGGUGCAUGGCUGUCGUCAGCUCGUGUCGUGAGAUGUUGGGUUAAGUCCCGCAACGAGCGCAACCCUUGUUCACUGUUGCCAGCACGUUAUGGUGGGGACUCAGUGGAGACCGCCGGGGUUAACUCGGAGGAAGGUGGGGAUGACGUCAAGUCAUCAUGCCCCUUAUGUCCAGGGCUUCACGCAUGCUACAAUGGCUGGUACAGAGAGUGGCGAGCCUGUGAGGGUGAGCGAAUCUCGGAAAGCCGGUCUCAGUUCGGAUUGGGGUCUGCAACUCGACCUCAUGAAGUCGGAGUCGCUAGUAAUCGCAGAUCAGCAACGCUGCGGUGAAUACGUUCCCGGG
rnacentral:rRNA from 1 species